AGAGUUUGAUCCUGGCUCAGGAUGAACGCUGGCGGCGUGCCUAACACAUGCAAGUCGAGCGAAGCAUACAGGAGGAAGUUUUCGGAUGGAAUCCUGCAUGACUGAGCGGCGGACGGGUGAGUAACGCGUGGGUAACCUGCCUUAUACGGGGGGAUAACAGUUAGAAAUGACUGCUAAUACCGCAUAACGGGGGGAGCCGCAUGGCACCCCCCUGAAAACUCCGGUGGUACAGGAUGGGCCCGCGUCUGAUUAGCUAGUUGGCAGGGUAACGGCCUACCAAGGCGACGAUCAGUAGCCGGCCUGAGAGGGCGGACGGCCACACUGGGACUGAGACACGGCCCAGACUCCUACGGGAGGCAGCAGUGGGGGAUAUUGCACAAUGGGGGGAACCCUGAUGCAGCGACGCCGCGUGGGUGAAGGAGCGUUUCGGCGCGUAAAGCCCUAUCGGCAGGGAAGAAGGAGGACGGUACCUGACUAAGAAGCCCCGGCUAACUACGUGCCAGCAGCCGCGGUAAUACGUAGGGGGCAAGCGUUAUCCGGAUUUACUGGG
rnacentral:rRNA from 1 species